CGCGACCUACGGGGGGCAGCAGUGGGGAAUAUUGCACAAUGGGGGAAACCCUGAUGCAGCGACGCCGCGUGAGCGAAGAAGUAUUUCGGUAUGUAAAGCUCUAUCAGCAGGGAAGAGAAUGACGGUACCUGACUAAGAAGCACCGGCUAACUACGUGCCAGCAGCCGCGGUAAUACGUAGGGGGCGAGCGUUAUCCGGAUUUACUGGGUGUAAAGGGAGCGUAGACGGUUCUGCAAGUCUGAAGUGAAAGCCCGUGGCUUAACCGCGGAACGGCUUUGGAAACUGUGGAACUGGAGAGCUGGAGG
rnacentral:rRNA from 1 species